GACGAACGCUGGCGGCGUGCCUAAUACAUGCAAGUCGAACGCAGUGGGGACGGGUGAGUAACACGUGGGUAACCUCCCAUCAGAGGGGAUAACACUUGGUAACAGGUGCUAAACCGCUACUGAUGGAGGGACCCGCGGUGCAUUAGCUAGUUGGUGAGGUAACGGCUCACCAAGGCCACGAGUCAUAGCCGACCUCUGAGGGGCAUCGGCCACACUGGGACUGAACAACGGCCCAGACUCCUACGGGGGGCAGCAGUAGGGAUUCUUCGGCAAUGGACGAAAGUCUGACCGAGCAACGCCGCGUGAGUGAAGGAGAUUUUCGGAUCGUAAAACGCUGUUGUUAGAGAAGCGGUAUCUAACCAGAAAGCCACGGCUAACUACGUGCCAGCCGCCGCGGUAAUAC
rnacentral:rRNA from 1 species